rnacentral:snoRNA from 1 species
ACGACCUUACUUGAACAGGAUCUGUUGUUCUAUAGGAUUGUACUACUGUAUUCUUGAUUUCUAAAGAGACAGGAACAUAAAUCUGGAUGAUGAACAUUGACCGUGUGAUCAAAGUAUGAUUAACGGCAUGGAUGAUUCUCAGUUUGAGAUAUCACCCUAUCCUGUAGAAGAUCGUUCCGGGUUAGUAAUAUCUGACCUGGGUGGUCAUGCGGUGUUCUUACAGAUU